rnacentral:tRNA from 1 species
GGUUGUGGUUCAGUGGUAGGACACCUGCCUAGCAUGUGUGAAGCACUGGGUUCGAUCCUCAGCACCA